rnacentral:rRNA from 1 species
UACAGAGGGUGCGAGCGUUACUCGGAAUUACUGGGCGUAAAGCGUGCGCAGGCGGUUUUGUAAGUCAGAUGUGAAAUCCCCGGGCUUAACCUGGGAACUGCGUUUGAAACUACAAGGCUAGAGUGUGGCAGAGGGGGGUGGAAUUCCACGUGUAGCAGUGAAAUGCGUAGAGAUGUGGAGGAACACCGAUGGCGAAGGCAGCCCCCUGGGUUAACACUGACGCUCAGGCACGAAAGCGUGGGGAGCAAGCAGG